AGUUGUUCCGCCAGGAGCAUAGCUGGGUAGCUAAGUAUGGAAUUGAUAAGUACUGAAAGCAUCUAAGUACGAAACAAGCCUCAAGAUAAGAUUUCUAAAAGUACGUAAAGAAAAUACGUUAGAUAGGUCCAAGGUGUAAGUGCAGUAAUGCAUUAAGCUAAUGGAUACUAAACUUUAAAUCU
rnacentral:rRNA from 1 species